GGUGGAGCGUGGGCAGCCUGUGGGAUGAGCGGGGGAGGGGAAAGGGGAAGACAAGAAACCUGGGGAGAUCAAGGGACAGCAAAAGGUACAGCAUGCUUGAGGUUGGAAUGCAGACUAGAAGCUGGAGCAACUGUAUUGUCCCCGUAAGGUGACAAGAAGGAAGAAAAGGCUCCUGAACAUCCUCAUGGUGAUAACACCUGCUCCCUUGCAGCAUUGUCUGAGUGCUGCAGCAAGUCAGGGUUGCCCCCGAGAAUGCUUGAUACAUCAAAUAAAUACUGCAUGUCACCAAAUCAAAGAUGCUGUUUCCUGUGACACCACCAUUGUUCUGUUAAGUCUACCUCCCACUAAGAAUGAAAAGGAGCUGACCAUGAUACAAUAACGAUGCUUUCCCUCACAUGGACUGGAAGUGAUGACUAGCUCUGUAGAAUACACAUGGAAAACAUGUCUUCCUGGAGUCAGUGAAAUGGAAAAUGCUCUUCUUGGAACCAUUGAACCAUUAUGCUAUGUGUGUGUGUGUGAGGGAGUGUCAUGUACUCACAACUAGUUUAGACUGAGAUUAACUGAUGUAUUCAAAAGCACAGAAGGCAUUUACUCAGCAGGCUUUGCUGAGAAAGCUAGGUUUUGCAGGCUGAACCCAGCCAGCAUCAAGGCAGGCUCGUUCCUGGCGUGUUUCUUUGCAGCAGUACACUCUUGCAGGUGAUAUUCCAGUGGAGUUCAGCACAUGAAAUGAGUUUCCUGAAGAGUGGAAGAAGAAAGGUUGGGAUGGAGGUGACGUUGUUUCUCUGCUGCCAGUGACAUCUCCAUUAGCAGCUGAGACUCCAGAUGCUGCGGCUGCAUCUCCUCCAGUGAUCCUGGGUUCCUCUCCUUUUGUCCUUUCUUUGUUAAGAUAGGGCGCACUUAUGUAGCCGGGGCUAGAUUAGCACUCACUACGUAACUGAGGAUGACCUUGAACUCUGAAUCUUCCUGCCUCUACUUUUCAGUACUGGGGAUCAAAAUCAGUGCUCCAUAUGGCUAGGCAAGUGCCCUAGCAACUGAACUCCAUCCCAGGCGUCUUGCCCUUUUACCUCGGGAAUUGUAAAGGCUUCCUCCUUUGCUAUGUCUGGGUAGCCCUCCCUACUGUGGCUUUCCAACCUGCCUGUCACCCAAGUACCCAGCUUCUUAUAUUAAAAUCUCUCUGCCGCCUUGAAGCAGUGAUGGGAUUUUGUUUCCCUUAGCAGAACUUUUAAAAAGGCUGUGUGCUGAGUCUCAAGCUGAAGGUUAUUGUACCAAGCCAGAGAAAUGGGAACUCUGGCGGAAGAUGAAUGAGACUGGAGAGAAGGCUGCCUCCCCGGUCACCCCAAGCACAGAACACAGUGAGGAGACAGUAACAUACAAGGAGACAGUGAUGCCCACUGGAAAAGGUAGCUGGCAUGCACCCUGAGCAAAGGGCGUGUGGGAAGGCUCAGUACUUCCCUUUCCUGGCUGUUGCUUGGAGGGCUCAAAGGCAAAUCAGUUCAGGGGGAAGUGGCCAAUGCAUGUUACCUUCUCAUCUGUAUCAGCUACUUUUCUGUUGCUGUGAGAGAACACCAUGACCAAGGCACCUUAUAGAAGGAAGUUUAUUUGGGUGUAUGGUUCCAGGGGACAUGGCAGGGAAGCAAGCAGCAGACCCAGCAGCAGCAGGAAGCUGAAAGCUCACCAUCCUCCACCAUGAGCUUGAAGCAGAGACAGAAAACUGGAAGUGGUGGAGGCCUUUUGCUCUCAAAGCCCGCCCCCAGGGAGUACUUCCUCCAGCAAGGCCACUCCUCCUAAGCCUCCCCCAAACAGUGCCGGCAGCUGAGGUCAACUGUUCAAAGCCUAAGACUAUAGUGGACAUCUCAUUCAAACCACAACAUCCAACUCCUCAUUCUUCAUACACCCACAUGCCUGCUGGUUACACUGGGUGUUCAGACACCUUUCAGGCACUGGUUCAUCUCAGCCUGGCAGAAGACUUUGCCUCACCCAGAUGUGCUGAACUGGGAGAUGAUGCAGCAAACAGAGGAGCUUUAGAAUACCUCCCUCUGGUGGCAUUCUGAAGGGGGUGGAGCUGUCAAGACCAUGAGUGAGAUUUAAAAAUGGAAGUGCGGGGGUGUGUGUGUGUGUGUGUGUGUGUGUGUGUGUGUGUGUGUGUGUGUGAAUGGAAAUGGACAGCCAAAAGGAGUAAACAUUUGUGAUUACAUGGUUUUUUGUUUUGUUUUUCUGGUAGGAAAGCCUUGACCUUCCUUUGUGAGGAAGGGCUCCUACUCUCAGCCUACAUGAUUUGGGUAAGGUUAACACAACCCUGUUCAUGGGAGGAGGCACAGCCUAGUCAGUCCGUGGGUGGCCAAGGUAGACACUGUGCAAGAGGAAAACUCUGCCUUAUCUGUGCUGAUGUGAGGAUGCAAGUCUGGAACUUCUAGCACUCAUCCUGCCGUCAAGGAAGGAGAGCACUCAGGCUGUAGCUGAGACCCAGGAAGCAGAGAGAGAGAGAGCACCAAGGUCCAGUGACACUGUGGAACUGCUGCAUCAACUAGGCCCCAACCCAGGACUAUCUUCUAGGAAUUUCUGUUGUGCCUCCCAGUAAACCCCUUUCUCUAAGCCUGUCUGAGACGCAUUUUCUCUCCGUCUCUUUCUCUCUCACACACACUGAAAGAUUCCUAUGGGGGACAUCUCUGUGUUCAUAGAGAGUCAUUCAUAUAUUAUCAUUUUGUCCCUCCCUUCCUUCUUUCUUCUAUGAAAAAAUUGUAACCACUAUUCAAUACAUCUAUGUAUUCACACACAUCUUGGCACCGAAAAGCACUUCCAUUUGUCAAAUGGGGAACUUAAAACACCACUUGUCUAAAUGAAAAGCCCUCUGUCAUUGCUGCAUGCAGGCCAGGGAUGGCAGGAUUUGGUUUCAAUACGCUUUCUUAAUUUUCAUAGUACAGGGUGUUAGAUACAUCAUUAACUCAAAUCUGAUUGGUUCUAGGUUACUACCCAUACAUAUGAGGAACUUAGGAAUGAUACUCGAAGGUUUUUUUUUUUAAUCAAAACCAAAAAGGUCUGGGAAUGUUGCUCAGUUGGUAGACUUCUUUGUCUAGUAUGCACAAGGCUCAAGGUUCAAUCUCCAAAACUGAGAAAAACUAGAUACAGUGGAGCAUGCUUGUAAUCCCAGCAUUUCCAAGGUGGAAGCAGAAAGAUCAAAGUUCAAAGUUCAGGGUUAUCCUCUGCUACAUAGUGAGUUCAAGACUUAACUGGGCUACAGACUUGGAAUAGAAUAGAGGAGAACAGAAUAGAAAAUGAAAUAGCUUAUUACAUGGUUGUUUAAAACCCACAGAUAUUUAUUAAUACUUAACUAGUGAAGUUUACUACUCAGAAUGUGUUGGCAAAUGUCUGACUGUCACAUAGGUUGGGCUGAGAAGCACUUAGGACUUUAGCAAAGCUCACCUCUGGGUGAGGAUGUUCAAGACAGGAUAAACAAGGAGGCUGACUCAUCCUAAAGGCUGGGGCUUGGGAGGAGCAGGAGGUAAAGGGGAAGCAGACGGAGCGCUCUCCUCCCGUGCUUCCAGACUGCCAUCUGUGAGCCGUGCUGGGCCUCCAGAGAGAUGGAAACCUCUAACCCUGGGAGUGAACAAUGCUUUCCUUCUUAAGUUGCUUCCCUAGGUGUUUUGUUAUGGUGAUGGCAAUCUGGGAAUCCAACAAAGAACAUCGAGCGCCUCCUCCUACACACGCCUCGGGGCGUGGUCAGUGGGCGUGGUCAGUAGUGUGGGCAUCAGCACAGCCUUCCUGUUUGUCUGCUGCUUUGAGCUGGCCUCCUAGUGAUGCGUUCUUGUUUAUGAUUCAACCUUAAAGGAGAUGAUUGCUGUGUUGCAUGAAGUUGACUGAUGAUCUGAAAUUUUCUUAAAGAACAACUGAUUUCUUCGUCUUAAAAAGGAUGCUCCUGAGUCUUUUCAGUGGACUCUUCAGUUUUGUGAAUUAACAAGCCACAGAGUUCUAGACUAGGGAUAUUUUGUUUCAACCUCAACCAUGCUCCAACUUUCCUGGGCGAUGAAACACAGUUAUGCCAUUUUCUGCUUGAUUCUUCCAUUGACCACUGACACAAUCCACCAAGCCUCAAGAGGGCUGCCAGUUAAACUGAUGCCUGUCAACACUUGAUCGAAUAUGGGGCAAUAACUGGAUCCCAGGCUGCUGGACAAGAUGGCUCCAUACAACAGACAGUGACUAAUAGAUGCCCUGAAAUAUCCCUGGCUCAGUAAGGUAGAAGUCACCUGAGAAAUCAGCUUAAGAGGCAAAAAUGGAGGGAGAAGGUACCUUAAACAACAAACUUCACAAGGGUAGGUAGACAACAAACUCCACGAGGGUAGGCAUUUCCUCUGGUUUUUGUUUACAGUUGUAUUCCAGGUCUAGUGGCUGACAGAGUUGGUGUUCAACUCAAUAUUGAAUGAUUUAAUGAAGGAGAUUGAAGGAAGGACAAAACCCAGAGAAAGAUAACUCUCAUGAAGAUAUUGAAGCAGAGCUAUACACACAUGUAUGAAAUAAGAGUUAUGUGAAGAGCGUGCCCACAAGUGACCACUUAGGAUACCCCUGUUGCUAUGAUGCAUAACCCAAAAGUCAAGGCCAAGCUAACACUGUAGUUUUUCUCUUUACUGCAAGAAACAUUCUCAUCUAGACCACAUGCUCCUCCAAGGCAGGAGAGUUUCUUGUACCUCCUUUCACAGGAUCCUCUACUGUCUAGCGUACAUAAGAAGUUUUAAGUUGGAGAUGUAGCCCAAUGGGAAAAUGCUUGCCAAACACAAGCAAGACCCUCAAUUUCUCUCCCCACCAAAAGAACUAUUUCUGGACUAUUUCUGAACUAUUUCUGUUAAAAUUUAAAGGAAUAUGAAAGAGUUUGUUUUGUUGUUACUUGUUUUAUUCUCAGAGGGCAUAUGAAGUAAAAUACCCCAGAGCAGUGACUCUUACCACUGGGGGUUGGCAGCGGUAGGCAGACUUUUCUCAGGAAAUGCACAUUUUAUUUGGAAGGAGCUAUUGGGUGGGUAUCCUUGUCCUGUCCCUGUCUUCCUCUGAACCAGAGCCUCGAUAUUUACAGCAAUGUGUCCACGUGACAAAGCACAAAUCCUGAGUCUUCUUGCUGAUGGAAAAUCCGUGGGAACGCAUUCUGGCUAGAAGUGAAAAUGAGUGGGCAGGAGUCCCAGAAGUCUGCUUUAUAAGGAGGCGUGGCCCCUCCAGGAAGCUACUUACCUUUUCCCCUUUCCUCUCCCUGCCUGCAAAAUGGGCAUGGAAGUUCCUGAUGUGGUGGCUACAGGGCUGCCCUGAGGAUGGGAGCCACAUGCUAAGGAAGCAGGAAGAAGCCUGGACUCUGGUGAAACUGUGGAGAGGUCAGUUCUGGACUCCUAUCCUCCGGAUUCUUGUACAAGAAUGGGAAAAGAAACCUUUAACUCCUACCUGGAAAUGUGUAUACUAUUUCCAACUGUUCCCAGGCUCCCUAAGGCCUGUUGAUUGCCCAUGGCAUGAGGCCAUGCUCCACAUCAGAUCUCCACUGUCUUUGAGGACAACCAAACUGAGAACACAGUCUUUGCAUUUAAACAAAAUCAUCUCAAAAGAUGGAAUACAUACUCCUAUUUCUAAUUUCAGUGGAGAGAGACAACCAGUUGCACUUUCAGACAUUUAAAAGAAUUACGGCAACCUAUUUAAAGUAUUUGUAACAGGACAGAAGAUAGGAGUGUCCACAGCCUCUCGCUUUUUAGAGAAUAUUCUUGAUGACUUCUCGGACAGCUGUAGACAUGUAAAGAAAAGAAAGUGGAGAAACUGAAGACACUGCCUUCAUGUAACAAGAGAAACCCAAGUCAUUGGCGGCAGUGUCUGGGAUAGUGGCUGCAAAGGAAGGAGCGGGAACAGCGUGGGCUGUUUGAGGAAGGUUCUUCGGGGUUCAGAGAAGAAAUUUUAUCACCCUGUUUCAUGAGAAAGAGAUCUGGUAGAUACAGAAGAGAUCAGCCAAAAGGGUACAGACAGAGUCCCUGAACAUCCAUGGGGAAGGUCAUCAGAAGAUGGAGAUGGAUGGAGUCAGCGCUGCCUACGGAUGGAGGAAGACAACGGAUGGGAAAUGAACUUUGAAAUCAACGCCCUGGCUUUGGCAGGAGCCUUUUUGUCAGAUUGGAGACAAAACCAUGUUUGCAGUAGGGCUGAGAUAAAAUGAAAAGGGAAGUGUGGGGGAAGAAGGAGUCUGGGGUAAAAAUUUUAAAAAGUACCAGUGAAAAGUCAUAUAGAAAAAUGAGGCAAGACGACCAAAUGUGGAAGGAUGUUGUUCGUUUUUAAGACGUGAGGUCGCUUCAUGGGCUUAUGACAGUACCUAAGAGGAAAUGAAAGUAUUUUAGUGAUCUAAAUUGUUGCCUUUUUUUAUCUGAUUUAUAAUAUAUACAAUUUAGUAUGUUAUAUCACUCACAUACGUAUUUGAUAAUACAGCAAAUAAUAUUAAUAAAUGUGACUAGUGAAGUCACAAUCAUGCUGGUGUAAUCUUGGCUAACACUCUCCUCAUAGAAACUGUGUUGAAUAUAGGACCUCCAAAUUUGGCUGGUAAUGCCUAGCAACAAGGGGUAAUCGUUCAGCGGGAGCUUUUCUGGGUAGAAGAGCCUGUUCGGUGAACUUGGACGAUCACAGACACCGUUUCUAUUGAACAGUUAGCGCCACACAUGCAGCAUGCUAUGGGGAGAAUCCACUUGCUUUUGAAGCAGCUCUUGGCAUAUCAGAUCUUCUCUGGGCUAAGGUAACAUAACUUGCUAUGUCCCCAUUACACUUACUCCAGCAGCCAAGUGCUAAUGAUAACAUACGUAAAAACAGAC